CAAAGUGUCUUUAAAAAGAGUCAAAAACAAGACACUAGUAACUUUUUAGUUGGACUCAGGCCUUAAGGUGUUUCAAAGCCUUCGUGGCUAUUUCUGUCCCAUUGUCGUCUGAGUCUGAGAGGAAGGUCUGGUGGCAAUUCUUUGCUUGAAAGACAGAAACAGAACAUUGUUUCUGCCGGCUUUGAUUUAGUGGCCAAAACAGUUAUAGGAAACUGUUGAGCAGAUGUUCUAUGAAACUCAGAAAAGAUUGGGUCUUUGAGAAGCACUAUUUUUAGGCCAAUGCUUCCUACCAUUGGUGUUUGGUGCUCGAAAAAGGGAUGGAGAGAGAGAGAGAGAGAUAUUUGGAGAGAGCUUUGAACAUUGUGACAAUCACAUUUUAUUUUAUUUUACUUCUAUUUUCAGUGUAAAUUAAAUGUAUCUGGGAACCUACAGAAGAGGUUGGUGAGGUUGUUCAAGAAGGAAGGGUUUUAUUUUAGUUUCCUGACUUUGCUGGGUUCUCCACCUCCUGCUUCAUGCUGUUUGGCCGCAGGGAGGCCACUCCACCUUCUUGCUGCCUUGGCUUCACCUCCAGGAGCAGAAACUCAUCUGCCACUCAAGUUAGACUCAAAUUUGUUACUCUUGGAAGGAAAUAAAAUAAAGACCGUACUGUGAGGUAGUCAUCACUGUCUUCAGGAAGCAGGUCUUUGGGCACCCUGUUCAGGAGCUGACAUGGGGAAGCAUUCAGAUUUAGAAAUCUGUCUUUCUUCAGGUCUUUUCUUUGCUGUUCUGCUAAGAAGAGUUUCCUUGGUUGCAGAUCUCAGACAGCGUUGGCUGUGUGGCCCCAGGAAGGAUGAUUUGGAAAAGAGGAAGGCACAGAGAGGGAAGUGGGGGAGCCCGAGAGCAUCCCUUUAAUGCUGCUUCUGGGGCCACAUCCAGCUGGAACAAGAGAACAGUGCCCCGGGUGAAGACCGACAGGUGACUACCGUGUUUCGAGGCUCUGGCCAAAGUCUCAGAGUCUCAGGAACAGAGCAAAGGCCGAGCUAAGUCUCCAGCUUCUGGAAAGUCCUGGACAUGAGCCCUGGAAGAGUGAAGGCUUCUCUUCAUUCGCUGUCUCUUUCCCCAUGGGCUCCUGAGCACUUUCCAGAGAGUCCUUCCAGCUGCUAAGGGUUGAGCUCUCCGACCUUUUCUAAGACUCCUUGGUACAUUUCUUUUUCUGAUCAUUAACGGCGGCGGGCAAAAUGGAGACAUUCCUGGAUAAGUGACUAGACUGACUAGAAGGCCCCUAGACCCAGGACAAGCUCCAGGUGGCAGACGCACACACACCUUUGAGGACAGAGUCAUCAGUGAGUCCAGGCUUGCAGAAGCCUCUGAAGCAGCAGUAGGGAGCCAGCUGCUGGGCUCUGGAGAAGCCCACCGACAGAGGGCCAGUCCUGGCCCUCACAUCCAGAGGCCACGAUCAGCUCCACACCAUGCACAUUUCUAACAUGGACACAGCCACAGAAUGGUAAACACCAGAGGAUUUCUAUUACUUCUAUUCUCCCUUGUCUGGUUGUCUAUCCAUUUCCUGUCUGGUUGGAUGUGAUUUUGUUUUGUUUUGUAUUUUGUGGUUAUUUUUGUUUUGGGGCUUUUUUUCCCCCUUCCUUUUCUCUUUCUUUAGACUCCUUUCUUUCUUCUUUUUUUUUUUUUCUUCUUCACUGUUUAGGUUUCUUACCUUUCAUUUUCGUUUUCUUCUACUGACACUUUUUCUCUUUCCUCAACCACUUCUUGAAUUUUAACUUUCAAGUGACUGAGCCUUCUGUCUUCCCUUUCUGAUUAUUCCUUUGCAUUACAUUUCAUCCUUUCCCUCCUGUGUUCUCUAAGUGUCUCAAAACUUGAGUGACCAUUCUUUGACCUCCAGCCUUGACUUUACUAUAUUUGACCACAUUCAUCAUUUUAUCCUGUCCCCUACCCAUCUUAACGCCUCACUCCCCACAAAAGGGUAAAAUCACUCCACUAAGGGGAAAAUCACUGCAUAUGAGUACAUGGUAUGUGUUUGAUUUUGUUAUAUAACUUUAGAGUUUCUUCCUGGUGUCAGAAGUUGCAGGUUAAUGUUAGCAUAGUUUAUUAGUAGUUAAGCUGCACUUGAAACCAUUGUUAUUACUAACUGUACUACUUUGGUCAGGAUGUCAUCCAUGCUAUAAUCGAUUUUUCUUCCCUGUAUGACAACACUGUGAUUGUAUAGGGUCGUAAUCAUCAGCACAGCCCAGUGGCAAAGGAUUGGGUGCUCAGCCAAAUAAUAACUUUGUAUCCUUUAAAAAUUGGGAAGUUAGAUUUCAAGGAGAGCUAUUAAGAACCACCUACAUCCAGAGGAUAUCUCUAAAGAUCAGACAUCUUCUAGGAAAGCCUCAAUGUUAGUGAUAAAGCUGUUUAUCAUAAGAAAUUGGCAAUCAUCAACAUGGAAAACAAAAUAAAAUAAAAAGGAGAAAAUAGAGAACAAUAAGACACAGAAGCAAAAUGCAACCCAGACCUCCAUCCCUCCUAGGACGAGCCUGGAUCUUAAUGAGACAGACAAAAUUGGAAGUUACACACUGGAAAUAUCUGAAAUGAUAGCAAGAGGUGAAAAAACAAGUGGAGAAUGCUAUAGAGAAAAUAAUCUCUCAAGUAAAAAAUAAAUGAUGCUUAAAAUCAAAUAUAUUAGAAAAGACACAGAUAAAAGAACAGAUGAGCUUAGAGAUAUGAUGGAAACAAAAAGUGCCCAACAUAGCAAAGAAAUGGAAUCCAUGAAACAGAUCCAAAUGAAAAUCCAAGAAAUUAAAUCCUCCACUGAAAAUAUACGCAAGAUAUUGACCAAAGGAGAAGGAAGGCAGAAUUGCAGCUAGUGAUCAUGAAAAGAAAGAUAUUUUAGAAAUAGCAAGAGACCAUGAAAAAUCAAUCCAACAGUGUUGGAAACCUGGCCAAGAUCCCCAGUCUUCCAAAUGAGUGUACGGUGAAGGCUUAAAUAAGUUGAGACAGGUGGUAUGAUUUUAGGGCUUCAGGAGGAUCAAAUCCUCUAACGGAGUUCCAGACUCUAGGGCCUGAGAUAAGGAAUGUCUCUGGGCAGCCCGUAUUUAUUUAAAUUUCAACAAGGGGGAGGGGUUAGUGUGGAAAGCAGGACACCUUGGGAGUGGUUCACGACUUUUCCAGGUAACAGCCUAUGUUAAUUUAGGUGACAUGUCUUGUUAAUUUAGGAGUGAAAGGGUUAACUCCCUAACUCCCCAGAGCGGGGAAUGAAAGGGUUAACUCCCUAACUCCCCAGAGCGGGGAAUGAAAGGGUUAACUCCCUAACUCCCCAGAGCUAUCAGAGCAGAGCAAAAAGAAAUGCCUAACUCCCCAGAGCUAUCAGAGCAGAGAAAAAAAAAAGAGAAAGAAUGCACCUGCAAGGUUGUUCUGUCUCAACGAGAUAAGUAAGACAAGUAACUGUUCUGUUCUGGGCACAUAGUGACUGGGCUAGGACCCCCAGUCUCCAUGGUUACUCAACCCCAAACCCCUCCAAUCAAUUUCUGCCAAAUCCUAUGCUGCUCAAAAUUAACCAAUGCAAUCUGCUUCUGUAAACUCGCUUGCCUCCCGUUUGCGCCCUUAAAAACCCUGCACAAUUCCCCCUCGGGGCCCUCCGCACUUGUUUGCCUGGGGGACCCCAUGCGCAUGGAAAUAAACUUUUUUCCCUCACCAAGAGUUGAGUCCUUGGGGUCUCUUUCCCUGCGGCGUCGGCCCUAACAUCUUGGAGGCCCUAGCGAGAUAGCACGUCUCACGGGAGGUGACCUCAACGGCUCUGCGGUGGGUGAGUACGACCGGUCGCUUCUUAUUUUUACUCUGAGGAUCAAUCUACCGGUAUUUUACGCCCCGAGCCAACCGGGCAAUUUUUGUUACCUGUUUUUGUUAUCUGUUCUCUGUUCUCUGGUGACCGGGGGACGCCCCACACGGUUUUCCGUGACUCACCGUCUGCGAUAGGAUUUUCCUAUCGGUCUGGGGAAUUUCAUUCCCAAUCUGUGGUCCGUCUGGGCCAAUCUGGGGAAUUUCAUUCCCAAUCUGUGGUCCGUCUGGGCCAAUCUGGGGAAUUUCAUUCCCAAUCUGUGGUCCAUCCGGGCCAAUCUGGAGGCACCCCCUAAGGUGACUCGUUUGGUGUGAAACUAAUGCAUGAGAGUGAGGUGGCCGGCCUGUUUGUCCUGUGUGUUAUGACUGUUGUGAACGGUUAUUUGUUGUGCCGCGUGUACGCUAACCACUCUUUGUCUUCAGAACAUCAUGGGCCAGACGACAUCGUCCCCAUUGUCCCUCAGCCUCAACCAUUGGUCGGAGGUUCGAGAGAGGGCUCACAAUCUCUCCUUACAGGUUAAAAAAAGUAAAUGGCAGACUUUCUGCUCGUCUGAGUGGCCCACAUUCUCCGUGGGUUGGCCACCGGAGGGGACUUUCCACCUUCCCCUCAUCUUAGCAGUUAAGAACAUCAUCUUCUGCCCUGGACGAGAGGGCCACCCCGACCGGAUCGCCUACAUCUUGGUAUGACAGGACCUCAGGGAGGAGCCCCCACCGUGGGUAAAACCCUUCCUUCCUCCGCCCUCUCCUUGAUUGCCUGUUUAAACUUGUUACUAACUUAGGGGCUUGUUGCCCAUUUCUGUUGUAGGAUCCAUAUGGCUUAUUAGAUUAAAGGUUCAUGAUAAGAAAAAUUAUUUCCUUUAGCUGACCAAACUAUGCAAGAAGCUCCCUUUGUUUGUGUCUUUAAUGUUGUGGCGCCUUGUUUAAUAUGUAAGACUUCAAUUGAUUGCUUGCAACCUCAGCAUGCCUUUUAAAAGGAGUAUUUUUUUCUCUCUGGUAAAAAUAUAAACAUGUGCACAUAUAUAUAUAUAUCUAUGGUUGUUAAGAGUCAUGUCAACUUUGCCAAGUAAAAACCAGGCGGUACUAUAUUUGAGCCAGUUAAAAGGUUACAGUUUUGUUUUUAAAAUACAGCAUUUUUAUGUGGUAAAAAGACAUAAAAUAAGUAUGUUUUGGACUACUAAAAGGUGACUUCAAGGGUUUUGUUGAGAGUUUUGAUGUUGUCUGAGAAGUGAGAAAAAAGGUAAUUGACUGGUAAUAGUAAAAAGAGGGACAAAGAGAGUGGUCUUCAAGUAAAGGUGUCUGGCUAUGCCAGAAUGUGGAAAAAGAUCAAAGCUUAGUUUGAGAGGUAUUAUUGUAAGUUGUAGAAGGCUCAAGAGGAUGUGAAUUUUAUUUGUCUUGGUUUAUAGUACUACAAAUAACAGGUUUGACAAAAAGUAAAUGUGUUCAGAAUUUGACAGUAUUAGAUCAGUUUUGGUAAAAGUAUACAUAAGAUUGUACUUUGCUGCAAAAUGUUUUCAUUAAAAUGAGAUUAUAGGUGAUACUAGAAAUAAGAUACAAAUUCUUACAUGUGCUGUAAACAUCUGGGAGAUUAUACAGCACAAUUUUGUUACCUGUGAAAAAGCCCUUUUUGUUAAGAAUAUAAUUUUAGUAAAAUGAUGGCCUGUCACGUGACACCCUUGGACAAGAAACAGUGUGCCAUCCAGAUGAAGCCGGCUCUCUGAUCCGGAAUGCCAAAACCAUGUUCUCCUUUUGUGCCACCCUGACUGGACAUCCAGAGGUAAGGAGGUUUCCCAGUAUCGCCAGUUGUUCUCUUUGUAACUCAGUCGGCCCCACAUGUUACACAAAAAUUACAAAGGUUUGAGAGGUUUAAGAAAAUGCCCCUCAGCCAGUUAAUAGAGAUAGCACAAAAAGGUCUUUGAAAACUAAAAAAUUUACAAAAAGAUAGCCUAGAUGUUAAAAUUGCUGUAUGAGAAAAAACUUUUAAAAAACAGACGAGACUUUCUGGAGGCAGUUGGAUACUGUAGGCUAAAUUUUACUGAAAAGCUUGCCUCUAUAUGACUCCCAUAAGGGAGAAACUCAAAAUUCACUGAACUGGACUGAUAAAUGUGAACAGGCCUUCCAGCAGCUCAAGCGGGCCUUGACAGAGGCCCCAGCCCUGGGACUCCCUGACGUUACCAAGCCUUUCAUCUUGUUCAUAGAUAAACUCAGGGACAUUGCCAAAAGAGUCCUCACUCAGGACGUUGGCCCUUAAAAGAGGCCUAUAGCCUACCUCUCCAAAAGACUUGAUUCAGUAACAGGAGUAUGGCCCCCCUGCCUAAAAAUACUAGCUACUGUGACAAUGUUACUUAAGGAAGCGAAGAAACUCGCUUUAGGCAAGUGAUUUCUGUGGUAACCUCUCACAGUUUAGAGACUCUUAUCAAAACCCCUCCUAAAAAAGGCUCUCAAAUGCCAGAAUUCUACUGUCAAGCCCUGCUUCUAGACCCAGAGUCAAUGAUAUUCAAGACUUCUUCAGCUUUAAACCCAGCCACCCUUAUACCUGAUGAUGACCCGGAGGAACAAAGGACACCUCUCUCCAUGAGUGCGCUGACAUCCUCGAACUACAGCAGAACCUACAGGCUGAUCUUACUGACCAGCUUUUGGGAAAUGCCGACAACUGUUCGAUGAAAACAGCUUCAUCCAAAACGACAAACAAGUGGCCGGGGCAACAGUGACCACCAAAAAGGAGGUACUCUGGGUUAAGCGGGUAGAGCCUGGCACUUCUGCCCAAAAGGCAAAGCUUGUUGCUUUGACUAAGAGGCUAAAACUAGCCACGAAAAAGAGGGUAAAACAUUUUUCUUACUAUAAAUAUGCCUUUACUACUGUACAUAUACGUGGAGCCGUCUAUCAAGAGUGAGGUUUCUUAACCUCAGUUGGGACUAAGAUUAAAAAUGCUCCACAGAUUCUAGACUUGCUGACAGCUGUCUGACUGCCUCAAUGGGUUGCUAUUCAUUACAAGGCUCACCAGACAAGAGAUGACACUGUCACCUUAGGAAACAGUUUGACAGAUCAAGCCACUUAAAAAAUAACAACCACAUCAGAGGGGUCAACCAAGAAAAUAACUGCUCUGAUACUAGUCCUCUGACCUUGUCAGAACCAGUCUACAUAAAAAAAGACCUACAGUUGGCAUCUCAACUUGAAAUAAAGUCUCCCACCCCAAGGGGCUAAUACCAGUUACCUGAUAUACAAGUACGGUUACUGGAGACACUAGGGCAGGAGCUGUUAUACCGGGCUCGCCAGACUACUCGUUUAAAAAAAAAACUAAACUUGUGGAUUUGUCCAGAACUCAGUAUUUUAUUCCAAAACUCUACAAACUGACCACCUCUUCGAGCUCCAGAUGCCCACAGUGCUUGUUAGUCAACUCAGCCAAGAGCUCUGCGUUGGAGACCACCCGACAUCAAAAAAUUGUUCCAGGAGAACAUUAAAAAAUAGACUUCAUGGACAUGGUAAAACUUAAUUUACAGGGACACUGCUAUCUCUUGAUAUUAAUAAACAUUUUUACUGGCUGGGUAGAGGCUUUCCCUACUAAGUCUGAGUCAGCCUUAGAGGUAGUUAAAAGGCUAUCGCAUGAGAUCAUACCUUAAUUUGGCCUCCCACUAUCAAUGGGGUCUGAUAAUGGCCUGGCUUUCAUAGCCCGAGUCACCCAAAAGUUAGCCCAGACAUUAAAGAUUAAUUAAAACUCCACUGUGCCUAUCAGCCACAAAGCUCAGGGCAAGUAAAACAUAUAAACCAAAGUCUCAAGGACAUUUUAGCUAAGCUGUUUUCAAAAACUGGCGAUAAUUGAAUGAGCCUUCUUCCCUUUGCACUGUUAAGAGCUAGAUAUACCCCAUAUGUUUCUAAAAUUUCCCCCUUUAAAGCCAUGUUUGGGAGGCCCCCGCCAUUGGUUCCAAGAUUGUCAGAAGACAAAUUAGCUAAAAUUACUAAUCGAGAUCUUAAGUCCCUACAGACACUCCAACCUGUGUUGGCCUGGAUCCACCAGCUGUUUAGACAAAAACACUUGGACCUGCCUUCAAAGACCAAGGCCUCAAGGACUCCAGUCUUGGUUCGAUGUCACCACCAUGACUCCCUCAAAUCCUGCUGGGAAGGACCUUUCACCGUGAUGCUCAGUACCCCCACUGCCAUCAAGGUAACAGAAAAAACUGCGCGGAUUCACUACACUCAUGUAAAGCCACUGGAAACAGCGGACAACGAGAGACAUACUCAGUGGACUACACAACAGACUGAUAACCCUUAAAGUUAAAAAUUGACUAAAACAUAGAUUAUGCUGGUUAUAAACUGUUUUAGCUUGCUUGUUUUGAUUUUAAUAACAUUGAUGCCGACUUUACACGGCGGCUUUGGUCCCCCUGUAAGCAAAAAAAAAAAACCAAUUGUUAAAGAUCUUUUGUUUUUAAAAGAAGGGGGUCUCUGCGCCGCACUUAAAAAAAAAAAUGUUGUUUUUACACUGAUCAUACUGGGAUUGUAAAAGAUACAAUAAAAAAGUUGAGAGAAAAAAAUCAGAUCUCAAGAGCCCCCUUCAAGUAAAACCAAAAUGUUCUCUUUCCGGGAAUCAAUCCUGCCCUAUAUUCUCCCUUUAUUGGGACCCCUGGCCGGAUUCAUUAUAGUCAUAACUAUAGCCCCUUGCCUCAUUAACCGAGUAACCCAGUUUGUGAGGGCUCAGAUCUCUCAAGUAAAAGUUAUGGUGCUACGUCAAAAAUAUGAUCCCUUACCCAUACAGGACCUUUAAGAUUAAAAGUCAUCGAAAAAAAAAAGCGGGGAAUGAAAGGGUUAACUCCCUAACUCCCCAGAGCGGGGAAUGAAAGGGUUAACUCCCUAACUCCCCAGAGCUAUCAGAGCAGAGCAAAAAGAAAUGCCUAACUCCCCAGAGCUAUCAGAGCAGAGAAAAAAAAAAAAAGAGAAAGAAUGCACCUGCAAGGUUGUUCUGUCUCAACGAGAUAAGUAAGACAAGUAACUGUUCUGUUCUGGGCACAUAGUGACUGGGCUAGGACCCCCAGUCUCCAUGGUUACUCAACCCCAAACCCCUCCAAUCAAUUUCUGCCAAAUCCUAUGCUGCUCAAAAUUAACCAAUGCAAUCUGCUUCUGUAAACUCGCUUGCCUCCCGUUUGCGCCCUUAAAAACCCUGCACAAUUCCCCCUCGGGGCCCUCCGCACUUGUUUGCCUGGGGGACCCCAUGCGCAUGGAAAUAAACUUUUUUCCC